CCUACGGGAGGCAGCAGUGGGGGAUAUUGCACAAUGGGGGAAACCCUGCUGCAGCGACGCCGCGUGGGUGAAGAAGCGCCUCGGCGCGUAAAGCCCUGUCAGCAGGGAAGAAAAUGACGGUACCGGAAGAAGAAGCGCCGGCUAACUACGUGCCAGCAGCCGCGGUAAUACGUAGGGGGCAAGCGUUAGCCGGAUUUCCUGGGUGUAAAGGGGGCGCAGACGGCGAUGCAAGCCAGGAGUGAAAGCCCGGGGCCCAACCCCGGGACUGCGCGUGGAACUGCGUGGCUGGAGUGCAGGAGGGGCAGGCGGAAUUCCUGGGGUAGCGGUGAAAUGCGGAGAUAUCAGGAGGAACACCGGUGGCGAAGGCGGCCUGCUGGACUGCGACUGACGUUGAGGCCCGAAAGCGUGGGGAGCAAACAGGAUUAGAUACCCUAGUAGUC
rnacentral:rRNA from 1 species